AUACUGUGAGGGUUAAGACACCAGCAGUUUCUAUUUUCUUUUUUCUUUUUUUUUUUUUGAGACGGAGUCUCGCUCUGUCGCCCAGGCUGGAGUGCAGUGGCCGGAUCUCAGCUCACUGCAAGCUCCGCCUCCCGGGUUUACGCCAUUCUCCUGCGUCAGCCUCCCGAGUAGCUGGGACUACAGGCGCCCGCCACCUCGCCCGGCUAGUUUUUUGUAUUUUUUUAGUAGAGACGGGGUUUCACCAUGUUAGCCAGGAUGGUCUCGAUCUCUUGACCUCGUGAUCCGCCUGCCUCGGCCUCCCAAAGUGCUGGGAUUACAGGCUUGAGCCACCGCGCCUGGCCAGUUUCUAUUUUUCAUACAAUCUUUCUUGAAAGUUUCAUUUUUCUUCUUCAACAGCUGGUUUGGGUUCACAAGAUAUAUAGGGUUUGAUUUUGGUGACCUCCAAAUGGGUCCAACCUGCACUGCCUUCUGCAUAUAUAAGUUCAUGCUUCUACUUAGUUCUCCUUAACGCAACAGGCCACUGGCAUGGCUGGAAUCUUUGGACCUUGUCCUGCACUGUGGACUGCUUAGCACAGGGAAGGCAGACGACAAGAGAGACAAACUAAUCAGAGAGAAUGAAGGGCACUGGAAGAGCUGAACCAUGCCCAGUCAUGGCUUACAGUUUGGUGAGAUGGGAAGCAGUGAGUGUGACCACAACCCACUGAUGAUAUCACCUAAGGGAAUAGUGGGUGGAAAAUGGAAGGAAUUUGAGUCCUUGAGUGACUUCAUAGUCUUCCUGCAAAUCUGCAUUGCUCUUCUUGGGACUGUAACACAAGGAAGAAAUGAACUUCCAUCUUAUUUAAGCCUCUGCAUAUAGAUGUACACUUAUUGGUGUUUCCUUUUUAGAAUAGCUAAAGCUUUACCUUAAUAAUCAAGAACUCAGCUC
rnacentral:lncRNA from 1 species